AAUUAUUAUUAGAUUUUUAAAUAAUUAUUCACGAAAUAAAUUGAGCUAAAUUUUUGGUAUUUUUGGAAAUUAUAACUAUAUGUUACAAAAUAUAUUAACUAAAUAGAUUUAGGGGUGAAAGGCCUAUCAAAUUUUAUGAUAUCUUGAAGUAUAUAAAAUAUAUCAAGUAUUUCUAAUUUAACUAUUGAAUGUUUAGGUUCAAUAGUAACAUUAUAUUUUUUAAAAAAUUGUUCAAUUUUUUUAAGUAAAAUUGAGUUAGAGCAUAAAAUAUACAUCAAAUUUUUAUUAUAUGAAUAUAAAUAUACUACGGUUAUUAAUAAAUAUAAUCAUAUAUAAUGUAAUUAUUAGUAAUAGUUUAUUAAACUAUAUAAAGGAAUUCGGCAAGAAAAUUUUUCACCUGUUUAUCAAAAACAUAGCUUAUUGAAUAUCAUAAUAAGUAACCCCUGCUCAAUGGAAAUCUAAAUAGCCGCAGUACCUUGACUGUGCAAAGGUAGCAUAAUCAAUUGGCUUAUAAUUGAAGUCUGGAAUGAAUGGGUAAUCUGGAAAAUAACUGUCUUUAUUUGUAGUAUUUUGAAUUUACUUAUAAAGUGAAAAUACUUUAAUAUAAAUAUAAGACGAGAAGACCCUAGAAAUUUUUUGUUAAUAACUUUUGUUGGGGCGACAGGGUAACAUAUAAACUUACUUACAUUUAUAUAAAUCUUAUAAGGUACGUAACUAAAUUACUCUAGGGAUAACAGCAUAAUAUAUAAAAGUUUAUGACCUCGAUGUUGGACUAGGUAAUUAAAUAUUUAAAAGAUAUCUUAAUUUGCUCUGUUCGAGCAGUAUCACCUACAU
rnacentral:rRNA from 1 species